rnacentral:rRNA from 1 species
UACAGGGGGGGCAAGCGUUGUUCGGAAUUACUGGGCGUAAAGGGCUCGUAGGUGGCCAACUAAGUCAGACGUGAAAUCCCCAGGCUCAACUUGGGAACUGCGUCUGAUACUGGAUGGCUUGAAUUCGGGAGAGGGAUGCAGAAUUCCAGGUGUAGCGGUGAAAUGCGUAGAUAUCUGGAGGAAUACCGGUGGCGAAGGCGGCAUCCUGGACCGAGAUUGACACUGAUGAGCGAAAGCUAGGGGAGCAAACGGG